rnacentral:rRNA from 1 species
CAGCCAUCAUUUAAAGAAAGCGUAAUAGCUCACUGGUCGAGUCGGCCUGCGCGGAAGAUGUAACGGGGCUAAACCAUGCACCGAAGCUGCGGCAGCGACACUGUGUGUUGUUGGGUAGGGGAGCGUUCUGUAAGCCUGUGAAGGUGGCCUGUGAGGGUUGCUGGAGGUAUCAGAAGUGCGAAUGCUGACAUAAGUAACGAUAAAGCGGGUGAAAAGCCCGCUCGCCGGAAGACCAAGGGUUCCUGUCCAACGUUAAUCGGGGCAGGGUGAGUCGACCCCUAAGGCGAGGCCGAAAGGCGUAGUCGAUGGGAAACAGGUUAAUAUUCCUGUACUUGGUGUUACUGCGAAGGGGGGACGGAGAAGGCUAUGUUGGCCGGGCGACGGUUGUCCCGGUUUAAGCGUGUAGGUGUG